CGGCCGACAGGGACGGGAAGGAGGAGGACAGGGUGGCGAAGUUCCCCUGCGUGGCGGCCAGCCAGAUGCCAACGCCCAGGAUGCCGCAGCCUCCCAGCUGGGACCCAGGCGGGGAGAGAGGGACGGCAGAGUAGCAGGAAACACACUCACCUCCACCCCGAAGUGGCAGGAGAGACAUCCACUGGCUGUCACCCAGGUUGACACAGGGGCCCCACGGAGCCCGUCUGGGUCACUGGGUGGACAGGCCAAACACGGCCACCCAGGACUGCACCAGAGCCAGCCGGAGCCCACAGCCCCCUGACCAGCCCCUGCCACCCCCAACCCAUCCGGGGAGCCACCAACCUCC